rnacentral:rRNA from 1 species
UUAAGCUACAAAGAGCGUAGGGUGAAUAGCUAGGCACCAAGAGCCGAAGAAGGACGUGAUAAGCUGCGAAAAGCUUUGGGUAGGAGCAAAUAUCCAUUAAUCCAGAGAUAUCCGAAUGAGGGAACUCACUUAGAACAAACAAUCUAAGUAUCCAUAUAUGAGUAAAGUAGUAUAUGAGAAGGGAACGUGGGGAACUGAAACAUCUUAGUACCCACAGGAAAAGAAAGAGAAAUCGAUUCCUAGAGUAGUGGCGAGCGAAAUAGGAAGAGCCUAAACCAUGAGUAGUAAUACACAUGGGGUUCGGACCACGAUAUAUUAUCAAUAAUUCUAAUAGAAAUGUUUUGGAAAAGCAUACCAUAGACGGUGAAAGUCCAGUAUAUGAAAGAAAAGUUGAGAUUAGUGGUAUCCAGAGUAGUACGAGACACGAGAAAUCUCGUAUGAAUAAACGGGGACCAUCCCGUAAGGCUAAAUACUACUUGGUGACCGAUAGUGAACUAGUACCGUGAGGGAAAGGUGAAAAGAACCCCGGGAGGGGAGUGAAAUAGAACAUGAAACCCUAUGUUUACAAGCAGACAAAGCACUUUAUAUGUGCGAUGUCGUACUUUUUGUAGAACGGUCCAGCGAGUUAUUGUGUAUGGCGAGGUUAAGUAUUACGUAAGGUACGGAGCCGAAGCGAAAGCGAGUCUGAAAAGGGCGAUAUAAGUCAUGCAUAAUAGACCCGAAACUGAGUGACCUAUCCAUGAGCAGGAUGAAGCUAGAGUAAAAUCUAGUGGAGGUCCGAACUGAUUGUCGUUAAAAAGGCACCGGAUGACUUGUGGAUAGCGGAGAAAUUCCAAUCGAACUCGGAGAUAGCUGGUUCUCCUCGAAAUAGCUUUAGGGCUAGCCUUGAGGGAAUGCAUAUGGGGGUAGAGCACUGAAUGAGGUAGGGGCCUAACCAGGUUACCAAACUCUAUCAAACUCCGAAUACCAUAUGUAAAUACUCAGGAGUCAGACUGCGGGAGCUAAGUUCCGUGGUCAAAAGGAAAACAGUCCAGAUCGUCAAUUAAGGUCCCAAAGAUAUAGCUAAGUGGAAAACGAUGUGAUUUUGCAUAAACAACCAGGAUGUUGGCUCAGAAGCAGCCAUUCAUUCAAAGAGUGCGUAAUAGCUCACUGGUCGAGUGAAGUUGCGCGGAAAAUUACCGGGGCUAAGCUAUACACCGAAAUUGCGGAUUUACAUUUGAAAGAUAAUGUAAGUGGUAGAGGAGCAUUCUGUAGUAGGAUGAAGCAUGACCGUAAGGACAUGUGGACGAAGCAGAAGAGAGAAUGCUGGAAUAAGUAGCGAGAGGAUGGUGAGAAUCCAUCCCGUCGAAAAUCUAAGGUUUCCCAGGGAAGGUUCGUCCGCCUGGGGUAAGUCGGGACCUAAGGAGAGGCCGAAAGGCGUAUCUGAUGGAUAGCAGGUUGAAAUUCCUGCACUACGAAUAUACUUAAAAGAUUCAAGGGACGCAGAAGUGGAAGAUAACCAAGUAAGAGGAAAAGCUUGGCUCGCAAGAGGGAGUGAAAAUUAAAAGUAACGAAGUAUCAAGAAGCACGCUGACGAGAAAAGCUUGAAGAUAUUGUAUAUAAGUACCCGUACCGCAAACCGACACAGGUAGAUGAGGAGAGGAUCCUAAGACGAGCGGGAGAAGCAUUGUUAAGGAACUCGGCAAAUUAACCCCGUAACUUCGGAAUAAGGGGUGCUGAUGUAACAGUCAGUCGCAGAGAAAAGGCCCAAGCAACUGUUUAACAAAAACAUAGGUUUCUGCUAAAUCGAAAGAUGAAGUAUAGGAGCUGACGCCUGCCCAGUGCUGGAAGGUUAAGGGAAAGAGUUAGGGUUAAACCGAAGCUUAGAACUGAAGCCCCAGUGAACGGCGGCCGUAACUAUAACGGUCCUAAGGUAGCGAAAUUCCUUGUCAGGUAAGUUCUGACCCG